ACCCUAUUUUAUUUAUAGUGUAUGAAAACAAAUGUUAGUAUACAAUAUAUUGUUGGUUUCAUCUUAAUAUAUAUUUUCAAAAUAUUAAUAUUUUUAUAAGUUUUUAUAAUAUGUAGUUAAAGAAAUUGGUGGUCAAAGUUAUGCGUUGGCAAGCGUGUCCGGUCAAAACAGGUCAAGUAUUAAGGGACAGAGGGAGUAAUCAUUUUCAUUAAUAAACAACCAAAUACAAAGCAGAUCAAACAUACAAGAUUUUACCUGAUUUAAAUUCAAGUUGGUAGCAGGACAUCUUAUCAAGAACAAUAUGAUGACAAUUCUAUCUAUGGCUCUUGGGUUAAACCUUACAGUCUCUAGGUGUUCUUAAUUACAUAAUAGCAGUAGUGACACAAGUGUAGUAGUGGCCUUACGCAUCAUGAUUUGAGGUUAAUUUAGUGGGGUUUUUGGUGCAUUUGCAGGUCUGUAUUGUUCUCUUUGCAGGAGAUGAUACAGUUGCUAAUAUGUUCCCUUUAGUCUGUUCGGUGCUAAUACAGUUGGACCAAAUGUCGAGUUCAGAACAGGAGGGUUAAAACAACGACAAACUCUAAAUAUCUGGCCAAAGCUCUCAGUUCCAACAGUGAAAAAUAUCUCUCUAUUUGUUUCAGGAAGUCUAGCUUCUCGAUCUAUGGAGUUUCUCAAAAUUUUCUUUGCAGAUGGAAAACAGUGAACCUCUAAAGUAAAAGGAUGGGGAUUUCAGCUUUAUACACUCCAUUCACACUACUACAGCCCUAUACUGGUUGUUAGCUUUGUACUUUGCAGCUGAAAGAAGAAGGCAACUGGUGGCGGAAGAAACAACAUCCAAGAGUGGGCAAUUUACUUUCUUGAAUUGAUUCAAUCUAAGCACAAGUACAUUAGCAUGCCCUGUUAAGGAGAGUGUGAAGCUCUAUUCUAACAGCUUUUAAUUUGCUCAGUUAGCCAAAUUAAAGCAAUUCCAUAGAGAUUUUAAGCCAAAUUAAAGUUGCAGGGAAGUAGGGAAUUCAUAGUAGUUGUUGAAGACUUUAUAUGUUUUCACAGUAGCUGAAGACCUUAGUUGAAGACCUUAUCUUUUCUGUUUGAACUCAAGCAUUUUUUUCACCAUAAUUGACUAUGGUUAACUUUGCUAAGAGUUGUAUUACCUUUAUGGCUUUCAAGGUGUCGUUCU